CUACUCUUGACAUCCACGGAAUUCGCCAGAGAUGGCUUAGUGCCUUCGGGAACCGUGAGACAGGUGCUGCAUGGCUGUCGUCAGCUCGUGUUGUGAAAUGUUGGGUUAAGUCCCGCAACGAGCGCAACCCUUAUCCUUUGUUGCCAGCACGUAAUGGUGGGAACUCAAAGGAGACUGCCGGUGAUAAACCGGAGGAAGGUGGUGACGUCAAGUCCUCAUGGCCCUUACGGGCUGGGCUACACACGUGCUACAAUGGUGGUGACAGUGGGCAGCGAGACCGCGAGGUCGAGCUAAUCUCCAAAAGCCAUCUCAGUUCGGAUUGCACUCUGCAACUCGAGUGCAUGAAGUUGGAAUCGCUAGUAAUCGCGGAUCAGCACGCCGCGGUGAAUACGUUCCC
rnacentral:rRNA from 1 species